rnacentral:rRNA from 1 species
CGGGGUUAUCACAAGGGUAUAAGUUAUUUUUUGAGGUAAAAAGACAGUGGGGUUUAUGGAAUCACUUUAGUUUAUUACACAUCUAUAAAAAAGUAAAAUUUGUAUAUAGAUAGCUAAUCUAAAAAUAACUAUGUAUACUGAAGCUGUGAUAGUCUUGAGGGAAACUGGGAUUAGAUACCCCAUUAUUCUUGAUUGUAAAUAGAAUUAAAUUUACCAGAGUACUAUGAAUAGUUAAAAAUUUAAAACUCAAAGGGCUUGGCGGUGUUUUAGACCUAUCAGGGGAACCUGUCUCGUAAUCGACAAUCCGCGCAAUAUCUAACCCUAUUUUGUAAUCAGUUUGUAUACCGUCGUCGUCAGGUAACUUUUAAAAAUAUAGAAGUUAGCAGUUAAAACUUAUUAGUUAAAACGUCAGAUCAAGGUGCAGCCUAUAGUAGGGAGAGGAUGGGUUACAGUUAUAAAAAUCAUAAUUACGGAAAUUUAAAUGGAACUUAUUUUGAAGGAGGACUUGAAAGUAAACUAAAAUACAUAAAUAGCUUGAAUAAGGCUCUG